AGUGAACGCUGGCGGUAGGCCUAACACAUGCAAGUCGAACGGCAGCACAGGAGAGCUUGCUCUCUGGGUGGCGAGUGGCGGACGGGUGAGGAAUACAUCGGAAUCUACUCUGUCGUGGGGGAUAACGUAGGGAAACUUACGCUAAUACCGCAUACGACCUACGGGUGAAAGCAGGGGACCUUCGGGCCUUGCGCGAUUGAAUGAGCCGAUGUCGGAUUAGCUAGUUGGGGGGGUAAAGGCCAACCAAGGCGACGAUCCGUAGCUGGUCUGAGAGGAUGAUCAGCCCCACUGGAACUGAGACACGGGCCAGACUCCUACGGGAGGCAGCAGUGGGGAAUAUUGGACAAUGGGCGCAAGCCUGAUCCAGCCAUACCGCGUGGGUGAAGAAGGCCUUCGGGUUGUAAAGCCCUUUUGUUGGGAAAGAAAUCCAGCUGGCUAAUACCCGGUUGGGAUGACGGUACCCAAAGAAUAAGCACCGGCUAACUUCGUGCCAGCAGCCGCAGUAA
rnacentral:rRNA from 1 species